GUUAUCGUUUAUUUGAUAGUACCCUACUACUUGGAUAACCGUGGUAAUUCUAGAGCUAAUACAUGCCAAAAACCCCGACUCCGGAAGGGGUGUAUUUAUUAGAUAAAAAGCCAACGCCGUUCGGGGCUCCGUGGUGAUUCAUGAUAACUCUACGAACCGCAUGGCCUUGCGCCGGCGGUGGUUCAUUCAAAUUUCUGCCCUAUCAACUUUCGAUUGUUGGGUAUUGGCCAACAAUGGUUACGACGGGUGACGGGGAAUUAGGGUUCGAUUCCGGAGAGGGAGCCUGAGAAACGGCUACCACAUCCAAGGAAGGCAGCAGGCGCGCAAAUUACCCAAUCCCGACGCGGGGAGGUAGUGACAAUAAAUACUGAUACAGGGCUCUUUUGGGUCUUGUAAUUGGAAUGAGUACAAUUUAAAUACCUUAACGAGGAACAAUUGGAGGGCAAGUCUGGUGCCAGCAGCCGCGGUAAUUCCAGCUCCAAUAGCGUAUAUUAAAGUUGUUGCAGUUAAAAAGCUCGUAGUUGAACCUUGGCCCGGGCUGGCCGGUCCGCCUCACCGCGUGCACUGGUGCGGCCUGGGCUUUCCUCCUGGGGAUCCGCAUGGCCUUCGCUGGUCGUGUCGGGGAACCAGGACUUUUACUUUGAAAAAAUUAGAGUGUUCAAAGCAGGAUCCGCUCGAAUACAUUAGCAUGGAAUAAUGGAAUAGG
rnacentral:rRNA from 1 species